AGAGUUUGAUCCUGGCUCAGAACCAACGCUGGCGGCGUGCCUAACACAUGCAAGUCGAGCGAGAAAAGGGGGGCAACUCCCUGAGUACAGCGGCGCACGGGUGAGUAACACGUGGGUAAUCUGCCCUGAAGUGGGGAAUAACACCGGGAAACCGGUGCUAAUACCGCAUACGAUCACGGAGUCUGCGGAUUUUGUGAUGAAAGGAGCAAUUCGCUUUAGGAGGAGCCCGCGGCUGAUUAGCUAGUUGGUGAGGUAAUGGCUCACCAAGGCUACGAUCAGUAUCCGGUCUGAGAGGACGGUCGGACACACUGGAACUGAGACACGGUCCAGACUCCUACGGGAGGCAGCAGUGGGGAAUUUUUCGCAAUGGGGGCAACCCUGACGAAGCAACGCCGCGUGGGUGAUGAAGUCUCUUGGGACGUAAAACCCUUUCGACGGGGAAGAAACCGCAAGGUUGACGGUACCCGUAGAAGAAGCCCCGGCUAACUCCGUGCCAGCAGCCGCGGUAAUACGGGGGGGGCAAGCGUUGUUCGGAAUUACUGGGCGUAAAGGGUGCGUAGGCGGUUCGUUAAGUUAGAUGUGAAAACUCUGGGCUCAACCCAGAGCCUGCAUCUAAAACUGGCGGGCUAGAGUUCUGGAGGGGGUAGCGGAAUUCCUGGUGUAGCGGUGAAAUGCGUAGAUAUCAGGAGGAACACCGGUGGCGAAGGCGGCUACCUGGACAGAAACUGACGCUGAGGCACGAAAGCUAGGGGAGCAAACAGGAUUAGAUACCCUGGUAGUCCUAGCCCUAAACGAUGGAUACUUGGUGCGUCCGGGAUUGAAUCCGGGCGUGCCGAAGCUAACGCAUUAAGUAUCCCGCCUGGGGAGUACGGUCGCAAGGCUGAAACUCAAAGGAAUUGACGGGGGCCCGCACAAGCGGUGGAGUAUGUGGUUUAAUUCGACGCAACGCGAAGAGCCUUACCUGGGCUCGAACGGCUAGUGACAGGUGGGCGA
rnacentral:rRNA from 1 species